UCUUAUGGGUGAGCAAAGGAAGUGGUUCCUAGAGAUGUAAUCUACUCAUGGUGAAAAUGCUGUGAU
rnacentral:pre_miRNA from 1 species